CCUACGGGUGGCAGCAGUGGGGAAUAUUGGGCAAUGGGCGCAAGCCUGACCCAGCAACGCCGCGUGAAGGAAGAAGGCUCUCGGGUUGUAAACUUCUUUUAUCAGGGACGAAGCAAGUGACGGUACUUGAUGAAUACGCCACCGCUAACUACGUGCCAGCAGCCGCGGUAAUACGUAGGUGGCAAGCGUUAUCCGGAUUUACUGGGUGUAAAGGGCGCGUAGGCGGGUAAGCAAGUCAGAUGUGAAAACCAUGGGCUCAACCUGUGGCCUGCAUUUGAAACUGGUUUUCUUGAGUACUGGAGAGGCAGACGGAAUUCCUAGUGUAGCGGUGAAAUGCGUAGAGAUUAGGAGGAACACCAGUGGCGAAGGCGGUCCGCUGGACGGCAACUGACGCUGAGGCGCGAAAGCGUGGGGAGCAAACAGGAUUAGAUACCCGUGUAGUC
rnacentral:rRNA from 1 species